rnacentral:rRNA from 1 species
CCUACGGGAGGCAGCAGUGGGGAAUAUUGGGCAAUGGACGCAAGUCUGACCCAGCAACGCCGCGUGAAGGAAGAAGGCUUUCGGGUUGUAAACUUCUUUUAAGGGGGAAGAGCAGAAGACGGUACCCCUUGAAUAAGCCACGGCUAACUACGUGCCAGCAGCCGCGGUAAUACGUAGGUGGCAAGCGUUGUCCGGAUUUACUGGGUGUAAAGGGCGUGUAGCCGGGGAGACAAGUCAGAUGUGAAAUCCACGGGCUUAACCGGUGAACUGCAUUUGAAACUGUCGAUCUUGAGUGAAGUAGAGGUAGGCGGAAUUCGCGGUGUAGCGGUGAAAUGCGUAGAGAUCGGGAGGAACACCAGUGGCGAAGGCGGCCUACUGGGCUGCAACUGACGCUGAGGCACGAAAGCGUGGGUAGCAAACAGGAUUAGAUACCCUAGUAGUC